CAUAUGCAUAUGAAUUUUUCCUUAAAUUCAUUCUUUUUGUAAUAUCAUGGAAUCUCAGUUUAUGAAUCGUACCAGACAUUAAAACCUGUUUCUACCGGGAUAACAACCUCGUACCCAGGGCCUUUGCGCGGUUCAGAGGCUCUGGUACGGGAAGCAAAGGCCCUGGUAAACACUGGUCACGUGUGUCCAGAAAUAUUGGACAUUUCGUAAUAAUUUAGUUUUGAAUCCGAGGGGAGCGGAGCCGAUUGAUUUUGUCAAACAUGGCAGCGCGAAGGCGCGACGUUUUCGAGUUUUAUUAUUUUACAAUAAAUAAAACUUUCCUAGUGAGAUUUAAAGUGAGUAUAUAUUAAAACUAUGCAUUCUACGAGCUUUCUUUCAACAAAUUGUGGAAUAGCGAACAGUAAUACUUAUCAAAGAUCGAGGAUCGAACUGAGAGAAAACUGGUCGAGUGAUCUGUCUUAUUAAAUAAACUGUCUAUGUUGUAUCCAUACAACUGCUUGUGUACGACGUUUUAUAAAAAAUUAAAUAAACAUUGUUGUUUAAUAAUGAUUAUAAGUAAUUUUCACGUACAUGUAUUGACCAAAGAAUAUCACUUGGGAUUUUAUUGUACUUUCAUGGAAGGAUACAUACUCAGUUUUGUGCCUGUAUAGUGAAAGGGACAUCUAUGGAAACGAAUUCGAAAUUUUUCAUGUUCACUCAUGUAGUUAUCAAAGCAGAAUAUUUUGACAGUAACAGGUUGGUUUCCGUAUGUAUGUAGUUUAAAAUACAGUUGUGAAUGAAAUUAUACACAGUAUCUUGAAACCUUUGUGUGUGAGUUAAUUUCAUAUUUAUUUUUUGGGAUGUUUCUCAUUGUCUGGAAGAAGGGGGUAUAAAUGGCUGGGGGAGUACCAAUCAUGAGAAAUAAUAUCCAGUGAUCUUGAAAUAUGAAAAAUAAUAGAAGGAAGUCCUGAAGGACAUGUAUAAAGUAACAAAAUUAUUAGGAAUCUGACAUAUAAAUGUAAGCAAAAACCAGACUUAGCAGUCUAAAGGCAAAUAACAGUCUGUACUGGGUGUGCAUUCACCUGUUUGUUUACAUUUGUAGUUACUAAUAUUAGUUCAUGAUUUAUGAAAUUUGAUAACUUUAGUCAUGGCAACAAGUCAUUAAUAAUUUUAGGGUUUACUAAAUAUUGUUCUGAAAUACUUCAUUUGUCAGUUGUGUCUUAUACUGUAGUAUAUAAUAAAU